GUGCUCACUUUGGCAGCACAUAUGCUAAAAUUGGAACAAUACAGAAAAGGUUAGCAUGGCCCCUGUGCAAGGAUGACACACACAUUCAUGAAGCGUUCCACAUUUGA
ensembl:snRNA U6 U6 spliceosomal RNA